rnacentral:lncRNA from 1 species
AAAAAUAAUCUGCUUUCAACUUUACUAUAUUAUUUCUACUACUGAAUUAGCCUUGAGAAAAACAGUAUAAACUCUAAUCUUGUAGUCCUCUUUAUACAAGAAAGGAGAAAUCAAACGUUCUGCUUAAAACUAUGGUACAUAACUUUGUUUUAUAUUUUUCAAUGCAAGCUAUGUUAAGAGAGAAGAGACUGGAACACAUGGAGGGGUGGCAAGGUGCUCGACCUGUUCCUCCCAGUUUGUACUCCUAUGAAAUGGAGCCUGAAACUUGUACUGCUCCGCAUCUCCUUGUGCAGACAUUGCCUGGUGAUCAUGGGACUAAGACCGACUCUCAUCCUGCCUCUGGGCCUGAUCCUGACCUACACUGUCUGCUCAGCAUCUUGCCCUCAGCUCGGUGAGGUCCCUGAGCCCUCCUGCCCUGCUGUCACUUGGCUCCUGCUCACCUUCCCUUAUUGCGGCAGCCAGCCAUUGAUGCUCCCUGGCACAAACACAACUGUAAGAAAAAAAGUUUCCAUUCUAACUUGUAAAAGCAUUAGUUGUAAUGUUUAAAUUUACUUCUUACAUGCCAGUAUGAUUUUGGGGAUUUCAAUGGAGGUAAUGAAGUGAACAUGGUAGCGAACAGCUUCCCUCUAUAGAGUAAGACUAUUCAUCUGAAUAUUUUGGUUUUGACUCUAUUCAUCUCAUUCUUUCUCAAAACAUUUUCAGUAUCUUGUCAAUGCCUCAAUUCAGAUUGUUAUGUUAAAUUAACAUUGUUGUGUUUAUGGACACAAUUACGAAAUGCACAGCAUUUAAAAUAGUGCUAACAUUUUCCCAGCAAUGAAAAUAUUUUAUAUGAGCAGUGCUUUUUUCAUUUUCUCUUUUAAUUAAGCAGAUUUUUUUCUACUAGUCCUCUCCCACAGUAAUAUAAAUUUUUCUUUUUUUUUCUUUUUUUUUUUUUUUUUUAAAAAUGUUGGUGUUUUUUGAAAGAUUCUACUCUCCUGAGAGUUGCAAAACAUUUAUUUAAAAUGAAAAUAAAAAUUGAUCUGUAAUCCUGACA